UUAUAGAUGGUUGUGAGCUACCAUGUGCGUGCUGGAAAUCGAACCCAGGACCUCUGGAAGAGCUUAACCUCUGAGCCAUCUCUCCAGCUCCCAGAUAGGUAUUUUGAUGAGAUAAACAUAGCUCUCCUCCUUUGUCAAGGAAGCUUCUUCUUACAGCAGACUGUUGCAGAGACCCACAACUGGUCAAACUGAAAAGGAUAACUUACUGUGGGUGCUCAAACCUACUUGACUCACUUACAACACAACCUUACAUCUAAGGUCCAAGGAGCACGGAGGAAAAGGGUGCAGAAAAGAGCGGAAGCACCAGGGGACCAGGGUGUCUACUCUAAGACAGUGUCUUCUAUAUGCGACAACGGAGCUCACCCAGGAAGUCCUGAAUAAGACCUGCAUAGUGACACUAUCAGUAGGCAUGCCAAAGUGGAUGCAGAAAUCUCACCAGGUCCCCACUUCGAGAAAGAACUCUAAGCAGCUGAGAGAGGAAGAAUCAAUGUAUCCAGUCCUGAGAGGUCAGCACAAAAUGCACAUAUGAACGAGCAAAAAUGCUAAACGGGCUCAGUAGGAAUCAGGGUAAAUGCAAGGUCAGAUGGCUCCUGGAAACAUUCAGUGCCAGGAAAAGGCUGUGGAUUCCGAGAGACCCAUCCAAGGAGUCACAAGAGGCCUGGGAUGGACUGAGGACAGAGGCUGGGUCAGACAGCAGCAGCAGCAUGUGGUUUUGCAGUUCUGAUCCCUCUCACCUUUGGAAUUUGCCAGGAAGCCUCUGAGAAAUUCCACGUGCGGCCACGCACCUGGUCAUAAAAUGCUCUGCACAGGUUUGGAGAAAUACUUGCUCAAGUGCCCAGGUCUGAAGGAUCUAGAAUUUUGCAUCACUCUUCAGGAGAAGGCUCAAUCCUUUCUCAUUGUUAAUACUGGGGAGUUUCUAGGAAGAGUCUGGGCCUACCAAGAAUCAUUGACAGAAGCAGAAAAGUCCUGUGGACCCAGCUGCUGCAUGUCUGCCCUUUCACAUGGGUCCCCGGGUUGCUGAGGUCAAAGCUGGCAAAGGCCACUAAGAAGUUCCCAUGAUCUCCUGCACUCUAGUGUAUGCCCAAUCAGGGAGGAGCAGAGAGCUGACAUCUGAGGCUAUCAUGCAGAUAGGCCUUUGCUGGCUGCUCUUUCCUUAACCUUCAGAUCUGGAUGGCUACGCCCUAGAGUGACUUGAGAAUCUCUCAGUAGGGGUGCUUGGAAACAGCCACCUAGCUGGUGUGGUUGUUGCUCAGCUUCCAAAGCUGCCAUGUCAAAGCAUGUUACAUAAGCUUGAGAAAACAUUAUUAUCUCUAUUAAAGAACCAGCAAAGGUGACCAUGAUGAGAUGAAUGAGAUGGGUCUAAGGCAUGUCACUCACGAAUAAAAGCCCACAUCUAAUUCUCCACAGGAAGUGAACAGCAGACUUCUGAGGAACACAUGUUCUCUGGCAAUAAAGAGGAACUUCCUUCAUAUAUUUAAUUAAUUAAGAUUGAGGAAUAUUUUCCAGUGGGAAAACUUAGUUGCUGUCCCUGUAUCUUUCAGGAUAUAUAACGUCUGGAAAGCUCAGAUGACACUGUCAUGUCUUCCUGGUGCCAGGCCAGUGAAUGGGUGGUACAAAAUGUUAUUACUUCAGUCAUUACUGAAGUUUCCCACAUGGCUGAAUCCAAUUAAUUAGGCCUAGCCAAACCUGCCAGCUACACCCAGGACCCAGCUGAAUAACGCUUAGGAUUCAGCAACACCCUUUCAACAAACACUCAUUUGUUACUACCUGUUUUCAGUGAAUCACUGUGGAUUCUUCCCUUCAGAGCCUUCUCCACACACACAACACUCUAGACCAAAGUCAAAAGCCUCUGCUUUAGAGUUCAUUAGAAAAUGUCCUUUAAACAAUUUUUCAAAUGGUAAUUUAUAUUUCACGUUGACCUAGUUUUGCUCAUAGGCAAGGAUAAUACAAUUAAUUUUUUUUUUUUUAGGCCUAAAUCAAAGGACUGAAUAGAGUCUUCCAGCCCUAUCUGUUUUCCUUAAAGUUGACAUAAAUCUUAUUUUCUCUCCAAAGCCUGUGGACUGUCAGCAGAACGGGCCCUAUGCUCUGUACAUGUCUUGAAGAGAUCUGGAGUAUCCCAGAGCAAACUCAUGUCCUUGGUUACCAGAGGUGCCAAGACUACUUAAGGUCUACUGUUUGCACCAAGCCACAUUUACUGCACGCCAGCUACUGCCAGAAAUGUCAUCCCAGCUCUCAGUUUCUCAAUUGCACAGAUACUGUGGUGAUGGACUGGAAGAGCAGAAUGCUAAAGAAAAGGCUGGAAUCGAAUGUUUUUUCAGAUGCCCGGACCCGAGCUAACUCUGGUUUCCUACAAUGUUGUGCCAGGGAAGGUCAGCCAAGAAUACUCAUAAUCUGCUCAUCGUGAGAAUAAAACGUGUCCCAUGCUAAAUAAAGCAUGUCUGCAUAUGUAAAAAUCUUAUUUAAAAGAAAAUUUGCCAUCAAGAACAUGAACUAGCUAUGGAAAUGACUUUCAGUCUCUAUUUUUAAGGUACAUUAAAUAUGUAUCUCAAUGGAAAUGUGAGGAAUUAACUUGCUUUGGGGCAAAUUUUCCAUUACUUCUGAGGCAGGUGUGGGGACUCAUGCAGGGGCAAAGCUUGAGGAACUGGCAGAGAGGCUGAGGCUGCUGGGGGCAGAACUGCUCAUUAGAAAAGGCCACGGGAACACCCCGAGAGCUGCUGCAUGUGGGACUGAGUCAGAGAGCACAACCUGAUCACGGAGUGCCAAAGAACAGAAACUGCCAGUCAUGAGCCUGCGACCACAGCUUUGCAUGCUCCGUUUGAAAUCAGCUGUCUUGCAGUCUGCCCACCCUGAAGCCAGGGCAAGAUGCAAGCUCAGGAGUCCUCCCUCAGCCUUCCCCUGCAGCAGGAACCCCAGGGAGAAGUCCAGGAGAAACCCUCCAGGUGGCAGGCCUGCCAUCUGUGCUGACAGAACCUGAUCACAGAGGAGGAAGCUAUUAAAACAUUGGUCAGUGCAGGAGGCUGAGCCAACUUCUGGAUCAGAGUUCCAGUUCUAAUGAGGCUUCAGGGAAGGCCUUUGUUCUCCUGAUCCUUGACAACAAACCCUUCAGUGCUCUGGGGAAGAGGGGAUGCUUGACACAGGGUGUGGGCACUAGGUAGUGGAAGUGAGGAGAGGGGAAGAGAAAAGAGCAAGGGACAAGAGAGUGGGGUAAAGGAGGGGAAAUAGAGAUUCUAGAACUCACUGACAAGAACACGCUAUAAGAGGCAGCAGAUAUGUCAGAGUCCUGUGAGAAAUUCUGAAUUUCAACUUUAUUUCUCUCCCCUUUUCCGAAGUUCUCUGGAGUCCUUCAGCCUGGAAUCAAAUGACUUUCCUUGCGUCAUAAGGCCAAGGUCUCAAUAUUCAAGCUAUAGCUCGACUAUUUCUGAAAUUGUCUUAGAAUUGUAGAAAUUACCUUAGAUGUCUGUAC